UUCGGGGGCGAGUUAGAGUGGCGCACGGGUGUAGUUAAUACAUAGGAACGUACCUGUAGGUGGGGAAUAACCGUGGGAAACUACGGCUAAUACCGCAUGAUAUCGUAAGAUCAAAGGGGGCUAUAGCAAUAUAGCUCUCGCCAACAGAGCGGCCUAUGUCCCAUUAGUUAGUUGGUAGGGUAACGGCCUACCAAGACAGCGAUGGGUAGCUGGUCUGAGAGGAUGUCCAGCCACACUGGAACUGAGACACGGUCCAGACUCCUACGGGAGGCAGCAGUGGGGAAUCUUGCACAAUGGGCGAAAGCCUGAUGCAGCAACGCCGCGUGAGUGAAGAAGGUCCUUGGAUUGUAAAGCUCUUUCGGCUAGGAAGAAGGGCUCUGCAUCUAAUACAUGCAGAGUUUGACGGUACUAGAAGAAGAAGCACCGGCUAAUUCCGUGCCAGCAGCCGCGGUAAUACGGAAGGUGCAAGCGUUGUUCGGAAUGACUGGGCGUAAAGCGCACGUAGGUGGGUUUGUAAGUCGGACGUGAAAGCCCAGGGCUCAACCCUGGAACUGCGUCCGAAACUGCGAAUCUUGAAUGCCCGAGAGGUUGGUAGAAUUCCUGGUGUAGGAGUGAAAUCCGUAGAUAUCAGGAGGAAUACCAGAGGCGAAGGCGGCCAACUGGUGGUGCAUUGACACUGAGGUGCGAAAGCGUGGGGAGCAAACANGAUUAGAUACCCUGGUAGUCCACGCCGUAAACUAUGGAUACUAGGUGUUCGGGAUGUUAACCUCCUGAGUACUAAANCUAACGCAUUAAGUAUCCCGCCUGGGGAGUACGGU
rnacentral:rRNA from 1 species